CAAGCUACUAAGUGCGAUCGGUGGAUGCCUUGGCACCAAGAGCCGAUGAAGGACGUUGUGACCUGCGAUAAGCCCUGGGGAGUUGGUGAGCGAGCUGUGAUCCGGGGGUGUCCGAAUGGGGAAACCUGGAAUGUCCGGAGUAGUGUCCGGUGGCCCUGCCCUGAAUGUAUAGGGGUGUGGGUGGUAACGCGGGGAAGUGAAACAUCUUAGUACCCGUAGGAAGAGAAAACAAGUGUGAUUCCGUGAGUAGUGGCGAGCGAAAGCGGAGGAGGCUAAACCGUGUGUGUGUUCAAGCCGGCAGGUGUUGCAUGUGCGGGGUUGUGGGGGCCUGUGUGAUCCUGCUGCCGUGGGAUCGGCUUGCAUGUGGUGUGAAGUUGAAUCGUCUGGGAAGGCGGACCGUAGUGGGUGAGAGUCCCGUAGACGUGAGUGUCAUGUGUGGUUGUCAGGUUGCCCCAAGUAGCGCGGUACUCGUGGAAUGUCGCGUGAAUCUGGCGGGACCACCCGUUAAGCCUAAAUACUUCUUGGUGACCGAUAGUGUAUCAGUACCGUGAGGGAAUGGUGAAAAGUACCCCGGGAGGGGAGUGAAAUAGUACCUGAAACCAUGUGCCUACAAACCGUUGGAGCCUCCUUGUGGGGUGACAGCGUGCCUUUUGAAGAAUGAGCCUGCGAGUUAGUGAUACGUGGCGAGGUUAACCCGUGUGGGGAAGCCGUAGCGAAAGCGAGUCUGAAUAGGGCGAUUGAGUCGCGUGUCCUAGACCCGAAGCGGAGUGAUCUACCCAUGGCCAGGUUGAAGCGCGUGUAAGAGCGCGUGGAGGACCGAACCCACUUCAGUUGAAAAUGGAGGGGAUGAGCUGUGGGUAGGGGUGAAAGGCCAAUCAAACUCGGUGAUAGCUGGUUCUCCCCGAAAUGCAUUUAGGUGCAGCGUCGUGUGUUGCUCAUCGGAGGUAGAGCACUGGUUGGCCUAGGGGGCCUACAAGCUUACUGAAGUCAGCCAAACUCCGAAUGCCGGUGAGUUGAGCGCGGCAGUGAGACUGCGGGCG
rnacentral:rRNA from 14 species